rnacentral:rRNA from 1 species
AGAGAGAGACAUGCGCGCAUAUCAAUAAGCGGAGGAAAAGAAACUAACUAGGAUUCCCUCAGUAACGGCGAGUGAAGCGGGAAGAGCUCAAAUUUGAAAUCUUCAAGGGUUCUACCUUGACGAAUUGUAGUUUAAAGAAGUGUUUUCUGUUGGAGUUUUGGUAAAAGUUCUUUGGAAUAGGACAUCAUAGAGGGUGAGAAUCCCGUAUUUGACCAUUAUUUCCAGCUUUGUGAUACACUUUCAAAGAGUCGGAUUGUUUGGGAAUGCAGUCCAAAAUGGGUGGUAAAUUUCAUCUAAAGCUAAAUAUUGGCGAGAGACCGAUAGCGAACAAGUACCGUGAGGGAAAGAUGAAAAGAACUUUGAAAAGAGAGUUAAACAGUACGUGAAAUUGUCAAAAGGGAAGCGUUUGACACCAGUGUUGUUUUCUCGAAAAUCAAUUAAAAAAGGCAGGAUUUUGCGUUGUAUUGACUUUAUCAGCUUUCUGCACUCUUUUCUUGUCUUUUUUUAAUGCACUUUUCGUUUAACAAGUCAACAUCAAUUUCUUUUGUUGUAAAAGGGUCAUUGGAAGGUGGCUUUCUUUUCGGAGAAAGUGUUUAUAGCCUUUGGCCUCUGCAAUCGGAGAGAUUGAGGUCUGCAGCGUAGAUCCUUCGGGGUUAGAUACAUUUGUGCUAAGUUAUAGCCUUUCAUAGACAACUUGUUGACUAUGACCAGUCAUGUAGCUUACUCGCUUAUGCUAUUUUACCUACGCUUAGGAUGUUGAUGUGAUACUGCGAGCA